rnacentral:rRNA from 1 species
GACGAACGCUGGCGGCGUGCCUAAUACAUGCAAGUCGAACGCAGUGGGGACGGGUGAGUAACACGUGGGUAACCUCCCAUCAGAGGGGAUAACACUUGGAAACAGGUGCUAAACCGAUACUGAUGGAUGGACCAGCGGUGCAUUAGCUAGUUGGUGAGGUAACGGCUCACCAAGGCCCAGAUGCAUAGCAUGCCGGGUAUGGUGAUCGGCCGCACGUGGACAGCGACACGUCCCAGACUCCGACGGGAGGCAGCAGUGGGGAAUCUUCGGCAAUGUACGAAAGUCUGACCGAGCAACGCCGCGUGAAUUAAGAAGGUUUUCGGAUCUUAAAACUCUGUUGUUAGAGAAGCGUUAUCUAACCAGAAAGCCACGGCUAACUACGUGCCAGCAGCCGCGGUAAUAC